rnacentral:rRNA from 1 species
GACGUAGGGGGCAAGCGUUGUUCGGAAUUACUGGGCGUAAAGGGCGCGUAGGCGGCACAGCAAGUCGGGAGUGAAAGCCCGGGGCUCAACCCCGGAACUGCUUUCGAAACUGCUGAGCUAGAGUACAGAAGGGGCAACCGGAAUUCCCAGUGUAGCGGUGAAAUGCGUAGAUAUUGGGAAGAACACCUGAGGCGAAGGCGGGUUGCUGGGCUGAUACUGACGCUGAGGCGCGAAAGCCAGGGGAGCAAACGGG